rnacentral:snRNA from 1 species
AUACUUACCUGGCGGGGCGGACACCAGAUCAUGAAGAUGGUUUUCCCAGGCGAGGCUUAUCUGUGGCGCUCCAGAUGUGCUGAUCCCUUCGAUUUCCCCAAUGUGGGAAACUCCACUGCGAAAUUUGUGGGGGACUGUGUUCGCUCUGUCCCCUA